GCUGGACCAGGGCACAGCCCAGCUCAUCCUCAGGGUGUCUGAGGUGCGGAGGGGCCGCCGGGUCCUGAGACUGUGGAGCCAGGCCCAGCACUCAGUGGCCGGCUGGGCCUCACUGCUCCGCCUUCUGUGUCUCAGGGGCAUGCUGAAGUGGAAAGAGGUCCUCCAAGAAGAACGCAUCCCCAUCACAUGACCACUAGUGGGCAUGUGGGUUAUUUCCAGCUUGGGAUUAAUGUGAAUAGAGCAGCUGCAAAUAUCCCAAGAGAGGCCUUUUGGAUUGAGGAUUUCCAUUUCUCUUUGGUAGGUACCUAGGCAUGGAAUUACCAGGUGAUGGGGUAAUUGUUAUGUUUACUUUU
rnacentral:lncRNA from 1 species